UACGUAGGGAGCAAGCGUUAUCCGGAUUUACUGGGUGUAAAGGGCGCGUAGGCGGGAAUGCAAGUCAGAUGUGAAAUCUGGGGGCUCAACCCCCAAACUGCAUUUGAAACUGUAUUUCUUGAGUGAUGGAGAGGCAAGUGGAAUUCCUAGUGUAGCGGUGAAAUGCGUAGAUAUUAGGAGGAACACCAGUGGCGAAGGCGACUUGCUGGACAUUAACUGACGCUGAGGCGCGAAAGCGUGGGGAGCAAACAGG
rnacentral:rRNA from 1 species